rnacentral:rRNA from 1 species
UAACGGGAUGCAGCCGUGAGGAAUAUUGCACGAUGGGGGGAACCCUGAUGCAGCAACGCCGCGUGGAGGAUGACGCAUUUCGGUGUGUAAACUCCUUUUAUAUGUCAAGAAAAUGACGGUAGCAUAUGAAUAAGCACCGGCUAACUCCGUGCCAGCAGCCGCGGUAAUACGGAGGGUGCAAGCGUUACUCGGAAUCACUGGGCGUAAAGGACGCGUAGGCGGGUUGGAAAGUCAGGUGUGAAAUCCUACAGCUUAACUGUAGAACUGCACUUGAAACUUCUAAUCUAGAGUAUGGGAGGGGGAGAUGGAAUUAGUGGUGUAGGGGUAAAAUCCGUAGAUAUCACUAGGAAUACCUAAAGCGAAGGCGAUCUCCUGGAACAUUACUGACGCUAAGGCGUGAAAGCGUGGGGAGCAAACAGGAUUAGAUACCCCUGUAGUC